CAACCCCCUUCUGCCGCCUCUCCCACGCCCCCGCACACGUUCUUGCACGCUCAUCUCUACGUCGCCCACUCUUUGAUAACUGAACCCCCCCCCUUCUGCUUCCUUCCCCUCCGCUGCUACGCGUGCCUCUGCAUCCUGUGUGUUUGCUGGUUGUUUGGAGAUCCCACCCCCGCCACUGAACCCCGCCCCGACACACACACACACACACACCACCACCACCAUCCUGUCUUGCAUCCGAACGCCACGACUCACCUGCAUUCGUCCUCACCACGGCACACGCUUACGCGACGCUGAGGUAGGGGGAGGUCCUUGAUCAGGCGGCGAAAGGGUUUGCACACGCCUGCGCGGGUGUUGUAGCCGCACCUUCAGAGGUCCCGCAUGCAGAGAGAAACACAGAGUGGCUGCUCUACACCCUCUCCUCUCCUCAUCCGUUUAUUUUCUCUUGUGUGUUUGCCGGCCUGACGCUGUCUGCGUGUGCGUGCUCUUCGUUUUUGUUGCUGCGCUGCGCUGCUCUCUCUCUCUCCCCCUCACGCCUCUUCGUCUAUCCAUCCAUCUACCUGCCGGCCGGCCGGCCUGCCUGUCUCCGUGUGCGUGGCAUUACCAGGCGCACGCACGCACAGAGGACGGAGAACGAGACGACAACGUCUAUCAACGUGACGUAAACGGAAUACCUCGACUGUGUGUGUGUGUGUGUGGAGGGGGGGCACCGCGGCCAUCUGCGUGCCCCCGCCCCUCCCUCCCGCUGUCGGUGUUCACUUUGGGACGGCGGGUUAGAGCGCAUAACUCAUCACUACCAUCGUGCUUGCGUGCCCCACUUUCCACGCGUUGCUCUUUUUUGUUGUUGUUGUUGUUGUUGUUGUUGUUCUCGUGAUGGCCACUAUGGCGGUGAUGGACGCAUCGUUGCCGAAGACGACGACCGCGAUGACGAACGCGUGCCAGGGCUUCUCUGCGCCGUUGCCCCAUCCUACCGCCGUCUCCCCCCCAUCCCCCUGCCAGCAACUUUCGACGCCAACUAACACUCUCACCCGUCAACUCCAUCAAGAUGGAUCACCGCAGCCGAAGCAGUACUGGGAACGUCGUCGCCACUCCAGCUCCUCUCUCGCGGCGUCACCUUUAGCUUCGUCGGCCUCCUCCACAUCGCAUGCUUCUCACACGGAUGCGUACGAGGCGGCGGUGGCAGCGGAGACGCGGCGCACGGACGUGGGUGGCUCCCUGCUUCAGCAGCCGAGCUCUCUGCCGUUAUGCACGGUGAAGUCGUACGGCACCGCGUCGGACAUCAGCGACGACGGCUCGCGCAGCUCCUUGAGCGCUGUGGUGGCGGUGCACACACCGACCGAUACCUUCGACGUGAUGACGACGCAGACAGUAGGCUACAGAACGCCAAGCACCCGCGCCGAAGUCCAACCGGGUCAGCUCGAGCACCACGCGCAGCACCUGCAGCAGAGGCAAGGGCAAGUCAGGUCCAGCUACGCGGUCGAGUUCUCGGCGUACGCUCCGCACGGCUUCACUCUUUUGGAUGGCAAGGCACACAUGGUUGGUGGGGUGGGGCAGAGCGAGUCGGCGCCGCUCGCCAGAGGCACGCCGCAGGAGCCGCUGGCGCCGGAAGGAGGCGCCAAUGUUGGCGCAGCACCGGCUGAGACCGAACGGCCCGCCAUCCCCGCCGCUGGCGGCAACGGCCCUGCGCCAGCCUUUCUGUCGAGAAGCGCGCAGUCGCCAACGGGGCCGCCGCCGACGUUUGUGGAGCUCGUGGUGCGGCGUAUGGAGAGCACAUCACUCCUGCAGUUUCUGUGGGUGGUGCUGCUCAUGGUCAUGCUGCUGGUGGGCAACGCGUUUCAGGUGAUCUUCCUCAACUUCUGGAUCCACCAGUUUCCUACGAAGCUGAAGCCGCAGAUCGCGCCGGCGUCCUCUUCUUCCGCGAGCAGUGGCAGCGGCAGCGGCAGCGGGGGGCACGCGAAAGCCCUCGCGAGCAGCUACGCCACCUUCGUCAUCUCUGCCGUACUGUUCCCCGCCUUCUUCGUUGUGCUCUUCAUCACGUACGCACUGUGGCGGCGACCGAACCUGCGCUUCACUCGCGAGUGGGCUGGAUGGCGGCUGCUGUUCGGUAUUGGGGCCAUGGACGCGUUGAACAGUGCCUUGGCCAUCUACGCCGCCGCCAACACGCCGGAAGUGCUUCAGGCGCUGUUCGUCUCCCUCGUCCCCAUCUACUCUGCCAUCUUCACCAAGUGGUUGCUGAAGGACCCGCGCGACUACGCCAACCCGUACGUCGUGGUAAGCUUCGUUCUGAUCGCGACCGGUGUAGCGCUUGCCUCACUGUUCAACUACGUCGUGGCGCACCAUCACCACACGGAGGACAGCAGCGGAAGUGGUCACGCCGGGGUGAAGGAACUCUUGCUCGCCAUCUUUUCGGGCGGAUCAUCGUCAUCACUAUCUCCCGUGGCGCUGGACCGCCGACUGUGGUGCUUCAUCUUCUUUCUCUCUGUCCCGCCAACGGUGCUGAUGAACGUGUGGCAGACCAUGUACAUGAUUCGGUACACAAGCAACGAUCAGCUGAUGGUCUACCUUGCCGAGCACGCAGAUGAGGCGGAAUACGAAGAAAGCGACGAUAAUGUGGCUGCGGGUGCUCCGGGGCAGAGCACGCCGUUGCUGGACGGCGCCAGAGACAGUCACGGCGACGCGCAUCAUUGCGCCUCCCCGGCGGCGGGAGAAGCGGUGGAGCGGGUGCCGCUGCAGCCCUCGGCCGUCUCCGCGUCUAGGUCCUUGCCGGAUGGGUGGGCGCACCAGCAGCACCGCCCGCGCAUCCCGCACGGCGAGCACCUCCUGCACGGCGAGGAUGCAAGCGUCAAGCUCGUCAUGCUGACCUCCGACACGACUAUCCAAGCUAUCCUUGCCUUUGUGUUGAUGCCGAUGGACGCCCUGCCAUGGUUCGGCGGCAGUCACUCGAUCCGCGAAGUCGUGCAGAACCUCGACGACGGCAUCGACUGUGUGCUGCACUGCCCCCGCAACAUGCGUUACUGCAUCUUGUACAGCACAGGCUUUGUACUCGUGUACAUCGCCUCGGCCUACCUCAACCGCUACAGUGUGACCCUCUGCUCCAUGGUCAGCCAGCUCUCCGGCCCCAUCACGGCCCUCGUUCUCAUCGCCUUUCCCACCCUGAACAUGACCGACGACGCCUCACCGUGGUAUGUGAGCGUCUUCGCCAUCUUCCUGCUGUCCUGCGGCACCGUCCUGUACGUCUACUGGGAUGAAAUGACGGUGGAGGAGAAGGCAGUCGGCGAGAUGCAGCUGAAGUGGGCAAUGAUGCAGGAGCAGUCGCCCCGACACGCGCCGUCGUCGGCAGAGGGCCAGCGGUACCACGAAGUCGACAGCGACGUCAAUGGCAGCAGUCUCGCCACACCGCAGGCCGGCGUGUCGCAGCCGCAGCACCAGCAUCGCCAUGCGCGAUCGCGGCGCUACCGCCGUCGUCGACAGUCCGAUUACGCUGUCGUGGUCGACCAAGACGCGUCGGAUGCCUCGGCCAGCGGACAACCGCACCGCCACUGAUAGAACAGAAGGCAUCGCCCACCCACCCACCCCUCACCCCUCCUCUCUCCUCCGACGGCUGACAAGCGUUGUGGCAACAUGCGUGUGGGUAGUGCGUUGGCUUGUUUAGAGGGCGCCAGAGGUGGGCCUGCGCGUAGUGUGUGCCCCUGCUCUUCCGUUCUCUCCAGUUGUGGGCGCCGGCGCCGGCGUCAUCGUCGCUAAUGGGACUUGUCGAUCGUGUUGGCAGUGGUGGUGGUGGAAGAAUAGGCCAAUGCUGAGAAGAUGGGAAGGUUGUGGAUAUCAGUGGUGUGUGUGUGUGUGUGUGUGCCAGAACGACACACACACACACAGAAACUUCAUCUCCAUCGCUCGCCCGCCAAUAUGCUGCUUGAAGUUUCUGUGUGCAUGUGUUUUGUGUCGCCGCGUUGGGGCGUGUCUCUGCGGGUGCACACACUCCAUGAAAGCCCCGUAGAUCCCCCACACCCACAGGAGGAAAGCAGAAGUCAAGGGACACACGAAGUACGGCGCGUGCUGCUGAGCGCAUCAUCGCCGUCCAACACCACCACUCGCCCUUCUUCUCUGCCGGUCCUCCUUUCUUCCACGGCUAUCUGCCCAACGGUAAUGCGGUCGGUCACUCUCAUCGAGCUCGUAGACACGCAUGUACACUUCACUUCGGCAGUGCUCGCGUCUUGUUCGCUGUUGUUGUUGCCAGAGGGGUUUUGGGUCAUGCCCUGAGGACGGGCUGCUUGGAGGACGCGAGGGGAGGGGGGGCUCUUCAUCAUCACGUGUCUUUGAUCCGCACGAACACAUACACACAGAGAGAGAUACGCGCACAGAUGCGCUGGAGCACCCCGCGUCACCUAAAAGGCGGCCUUCCGCAUGCACAACGCGUUUCGCAGCGCCUCUCCUUUUACUCCCCUCAUCAUCGUUCAUGCCGCCACCUUUUCUGGACAUCAGCUGUGGCACAUCGCUGGUGUGUGUACAUGUGUGUGUGUGUGUGUGUGUGUGUGUGUGCCUGAGCGCUGAUCGUAUCUGACGGUGGUGACGACGCGACUAUCAUCGAAACCAAAAAUGAGCUGCCGUGGCCUUCAAGAGCCUCACCGAUUGGAAGCCUCAACGCCGUGUGCUCGCCCUCAACUCCCUCUCUGCUUCUGUCCCCUUGACAGCCGCGAGGCACGCUUUCCCGCCUCCUCUAAUCGCUUGUGGACCCCUCGCCCACACCUCACACGCAUCUGCCUCGCGUUGAGGCGUGGGCCUCUGACGACCACGUUGUGGGCCGAACCACCAGCCCA
rnacentral:misc_RNA from 1 species